GAGCGGAGAUAUAUGGAGCUUGCUUUAUAUAACUUAGCAGCGAACGGGUGAGUAACACGUAGAUAAUCUAUCCUAUACUGGGGGAUAGCCCGAUGAAAGUUGGAUUAAUACCGCAUAUAGCUAUAUAGUUGCAUGAUUAUGUAGUGAAAGAUUUAUUGGUAUAGGAGGAGUCUGCGGCACAUUAGCUAGUAGGUGAGGUAAAGGCUUACCUAGGCGACGAUGUGUAGCCGGUCUGAGAGGAUGAACGGCCACAAUGGAACUGAGACACGGUCCAUACUCCUACGGGAGGCAGCAGUGGGGAAUAUUGCACAAUGGGGGAAACCCUGAUGCAGCAACGCCGCGUGAGUGAAGAAGGUUUUCGGAUUGUAAAGCUCUGUUAGCAGGGAAGAGGAAGGACGGUACCUGCAGAGGAAGCCACGGCUAACUACGUGCCAGCAGCCGCGGUAAUACGUAGGUGGCAAGCGUUGUUCGGAAUAACUGGGCGUAAAGGAUGCGUAGGCGGUUAAACAAGUUAUAUGUUAAAUAUAUAGGCUUAACCUGUAGAAAGCAUAUAAAACUGUUUAACUAGAGUGCAGGAGAGGUAAGUGGAAUUCCUAGCGUAGCGGUGAAAUGCGUAGAGAUUAGGAAGAACACCAGUGGCGAGGGCGACUUACUGGACUGUAACUGACGCUGAGGCAUGAGAGCAUGGGGAGCAAACAGGAUUAGAUACCCUGGUAGUCCAUGCUGUAAACGAUGGGUACUAGGUGUGGGUUGUGAAUAACAAUUCGUGCCGUCGCAAACGCAAUAAGUACCCCGCCUGAGGAGUACGAUCGCA
rnacentral:rRNA from 1 species